rnacentral:rRNA from 1 species
UACGUAGGGUGCAAGCGUUAAUCGGAAUUACUGGGCGUAAAGCGUGCGCAGGCGGUUUGUUAAGUCCGUUGUGAAAGCCCCGAGCUCAACUUGGGAAUUGCAGUGGAUACUGGCAGGCUGGAGUACGGUAGAGGAAGGUGGAAUUCCCGGUGUAGCAGUGAAAUGCGUAGAUAUCGGGAGGAACACCAGUGGCGAAGGCGGCCUUCUGGACCAGUACUGACGCUCAUGCACGAAAGCGUGGGGAGCAAACAGG